UCAAAACUGAAAGGAUUGGAACGGUUGCACAUCAUAUCUAGUACGUAUGUUGCCUUCAAUGAAAUACCUUGUUUUUCUGUAUCAAAAUUCUUUGACAUUUUGUCUUGUUAUAAAUAUUAUCGUACCUCCCUGUACUGAUUAUUCUAUUUCUAUAUGAAAUAUAUUAUGAAGUACAGAGUGUAAAAAAUCUUAAAAGGUAGAUUGACCUUUGACCAGCACCUCAAUUUCAAGGUCAUGAAAUUCGAAGCAGUAGGUUUCUACUAUAUAUUGUUCAUGUUAACAAUACUGAUGAUGAUAACUUGAUGAUCUGUAAAAAAUGACCCAUAUGAAUUAAAGAUGCGUCAGGUAACAAUUUUGUCAUUUGUCUAGUUAAAAAAAAAAGAAACAAAGAAGUAGAAAGGAAACAAUAAUGAAAACUUUUUUACCUUAAAAUAAUGAUAACAAAAACAUCGAAAUAAAAAAAAAUCGUAAACACAGGCAAAAUUAAACAUGAGACUUUAUCAACCACAAGAAUGAACGAAAAAUAAACGUUAUGUUGCUGACUUGGAACAGACAUUUUCCGAAGAAAAGGAUUGAUUUAAAACCCUGGUAUUUUUGCUGUGGUAUGAUAGUUGUUUUAAAUUCCUUAAUAUUGACAAAAAUGGUUGAGCAACCCAAACAGACAUAAAGGUUAAUGUGAUAUUAAUUGAAAUCCAGCCGCACAAAUUGUAUAAAGAUACAUCACAGAUAUACAACACAACUGUUUAAAAAAUACAAACAAACAUUCAAAUAAACCUAACAAAGACGCCAAC
rnacentral:lncRNA from 1 species